rnacentral:rRNA from 1 species
GAUGAACGCUGGCGGCGUGCCUAAUACAUGCAAGUCGAGCGAACCGACGAGGCGCUUGCUCCUUUGACGUUAGCGGCGGACGGGUGAGUAACACGUGGGUAACCUUCCUAUUAGACUGGGAUAACUUCGGGAAACCGGCGCUACAACCGGAUAAUAUUUCGCACCGCAUGGUUCGAUAGUGAAAGCUGGCUCUGCUCUCACUUAUAGAUGGACCUGCGCCGAAUUAGCUAGUUGGUAAGGUAACGGCUGACCAAGGCAACGAUACGUAGCCGACCUGAGAGGGUGAUCGGCCACACGGGAACUGAGCCACGGUCCAGACUCCUACGGGAGGCAGCAGUAGGGAAUCUUCCGCAAUGGGCGAAAGCCUGACGGAGCAACGCCGCGUGAGUGAUGAAGGUCUUCGGAUCGUAAAACUCUGUUAUUAGGGAAGAACAAACGUGUAAGUAACUGUGCACGGCUUGACGGUACCUAAUCAGAAAGCCGCGGCUAACUACGUG